AGCAGCCGCGGUAAUUCCAGCUCCAAUAGCGUAUAUUAAAGUUGUUGCAGUUAAAAAGCUCGUAGUUGAAUUUCGGGAUUAGUACGCUGGUCGUGCCUUCGGUAUGUACUGGUGUUACUGAUUCCUACCUUCUGACGAAUCGUCAUGUCAUUAAUUUGGUGUGGCGGGGAAUCAGGACUGUUACUUUGAAAAAUUAGAGUGUUUAAAGCAGGCUCGCGCUUGAAUACAUUAGCAUGGAAUAAUGAAAUAGGACGUUUGAUCCUAUUUUGUUGGUUUCUAGGAUUGACGUAAUGAUUAAUAGGGAUAGUUGGGGGCAUUAGUAUUCAAUUGUCAGAGGUGAAAUUCUUGGAUUUAUUGAAGACUAACUACUGCGAAAGCAUUUGCCAAGGAUGUUUUCAUUAAUCAAGAACGAAAGUUAGGGAUCGAAGACGAUCAGAUACCGUCGUAGUCUUAACCAUAAACUAUGCCGACUAGGGAUCGGAUGAUGUUAAUUUUUAAUGUACUCAUUCGGCGCCUUACG
rnacentral:rRNA from 1 species